rnacentral:rRNA from 1 species
ACAUGCAAGUCGAACGGCAGCACGGGGGCAACCCUGGUGGCGAGUGGCGAACGGGUGAGUAAUACAUCGGAACGUAUCCUGUGGUGGGGGAUAACUAGUCGAAAGAUUAGCUAAUACCGCAUAAGCUCGAAAGAGGAAAGCAGGGGACCUGAAAGGGCCUUGCGCGAUUGGAGCGGCCGAUGUCCGAUUAGCUAGUUGGUGGGGUAAAGGCCUACCAAGGCGACGAUCGGUAGCUGGUCUGAGAGGAUGAUCAGCCACACUGGGACUGAGACACGGCCCAGACUCCUACGGGAGGCAGCAGUGGGGAAUUUUGGACAAUGGGGGCAACCCUGAUCCAGCCAUGCCGCGUGAGUGAAGAAGGCCUUCGGGUUGUAAAGCUCUUUCGGUGGGAACGAAACGGUUCGUGUUAACACCACGGACUUCUGACGGUACCUACAGAAGAAGCACCGGCUAACUACGUGCCAGCAGCCGCGGUAAUACGUAGGGUGCGAGCGUUAAUCGGAAUUACUGGGCGUAAAGCGUGCGCAGGCGGCGCGUUAAGACAGGUGUGAAAGCCCCGAGCUUAACUUGGGAAUUGCGCUUGUGACUGGCGUGCUGGAGUGUGGCAGAGGGAGGUGGAAUUCCACGUGUAGCAGUGAAAUGCGUAGAGAUGUGGAGGAACACCGAUGGCGAAGGCAGCCUCCUGGGCCAGCACUGACGCUCAUGCACGAAAGCGUGGGGAGCAAACAGGAUUAGAUACCCUGGUAGUCCACGCCCUAAACGAUGUCAACUGGUUGUUGGUGGGGUUAAACCCAUUAGUAACGAAGCUAACGCGUGAAGUUGACCGCCUGGGGAGUACGGCCGCAAGGUUAAAACUCAAAGGAAUUGACGGGGACCCGCACAAGCGGUGGAUGAUGUGGAUUAAUUCGAUGCAACGCGA